GUCUGUAUUAACUCCCAUCCCAGCGAUAUUAUGACCAUAUAUCCUGGACCUAGAUGUUCCCAUUCGGGGAAGAAAGAGGAACACAAUAAAUUUUGCAAUAUUAAUUGUGAAUCUGGCAGAUAGCUUAUACCUAAUAUUUUUGUUUUUGCUUCUGUUUCUAAGAAAUCUCCCCGAUGCCGAGUACUAGCUGAGAAGGAUGUGGUAUGCGUGCCUUAGCUCAGGCCCUUUGGCUACGCAUUCUUGGAACUCGCAGCGUUUGGAGCUUCAGGACGUCGUUGGCUCCUUCCAUUCUGUUCCCCUCCCUUGACCAAGUGACUGGUUGGAAGCCAUUUGCUUUUCUAAGAGACGGAGCUGGGAUAGAGUGUCUCUUGCCUUCCAGAAACGAGAACUCAUGUUUUUUGGAGAUGGAGAGACACGCCCAUUAUAAAGGUGGGAAAGGGUGAGGAUUCUAGAGUCGGGCGGCCCUAGGUGUGAAUCUUGGCUCUGUCAGUGUGUGAGGCAGGGGCAUGUUGAGCCCUAAGUUUCUCCUUCAUGCUGUAAAAACAGUAAUGAUACCACAAGAGAGGGGUUGGGAGAAUUAAAUUGGAUGAUGCGGGUCGAAUAGUUUGCUGUGGUCCCUGGCACACGAAACGUUCUCCGACAUCUGUCGGAAGUAACAACGAAAACAAAACCAAGAAGCAAACUAACUCCCCUAAACUGGGUUCCUGGUUCUUUGGGCCAGUGGGACCAGAGUUGUUACUGGUUAAAUAUCUUCCUCCUGCACAGCCUGUCGUGUGCCCUUAUCUUCCUGGGGGAGAACGUACAUGCUUAUUUCCUCUGAGAGAGAAACACAGGAGCCCUGUUCACUCCCCAUCGGGCUUUGGGCAGAGAGAGACAGAUGUGGUAGGCUGGUGGCUAGAGAUGGGGGCAGUGAGGGAGGGCCCCGAUGAGCAGUCCCCAGGAGCAAGAGGGGUCUGACAGGUCCAGCUGGCCCAGCAGGACCAACUGUGUGGGACAGCGGACCCCCACUCUGGAACCCAGCCUGUGCCCGCAGGAGGAACAGCAGGGGUGACCCAGGGUGGGAGUGAUCUCCACCAGCAGGGACCCUGCCCCCGAGAUGGACGCAGGUCAAAUGGCGUUUGAGGAACCGAAGAACGUUGGGAGGGAAUUAUAGAAGCCUCUGAUCAGGAGAGUGGAGGCCCAGAGAGAUGUGAAUCACUCACUGCAAGUCACAGGCAUCAGCUCGAAGCCUAGACGGAAAACGAACCUCAUCGAUUUCAAAGUCUGUCCUGUCCAUGUCACUGACCCAGCUAAACUUUACGGGACUACAUUUUCCCCUACACUUCUCUCCCUGACUUCAGCUCUCUGGCGAUGGGCUGUGUGUGAGUGUCUGGAAAUCGAUGUAUUUUAAGGAAUCGGUUCGAGUGAUGACGGAGGCUUGACAACUUUGGAAUCUGCAGGCAGGCCAACAGGCUGGGAGAAGACCCAGGGAGAAGCUAAUGUUGCAGCUGGAGCUUGAAGGCAGUCUGGAGGCAGAGAUUCCUUUUCCUUGGGGGAAUCUCAGCUUUUUUUUUUUUUUUUUUUUUUUUUUUUUCUUUAAGACCUUCAACUGAUUGGGUGAGGCCCACCCACACUAUAAAGGGUAAUCUGCGUUACUCAAUGUCUGGUGAUUUAAAUGCUAAUCUCAGCUAAAAAGUACCUUCCUAGUGAUAUCUAGACUGGUGUUUGACCAAAUAUCUGGGUACUGUGACCUCGCUGAGUUGACAUACGGCAUUAGCCAUCACGUGGGGCUAAUAAGAUCUAUCUCCUAAGAUUGAAGGGGGGUAUCCGUGAGCUGAUGUAGAAAAAGAGCUUGGGCACAGGUAAGUUCCGGCUACGUAUUACCCGUUGUUCUUCCCGGAACUGGACGUGCUGUCUCUGGCUUUGGCUCAGACGGGUCAUUUCUGUCCGUGGACCAGCCCUCUGGUAG